GAAAAUUAAUAAAAUAAUGUAUUAUGUACACAAUUACAUGCAAAGUUUCUCUAUUACUUGUCAUCUAAUUGUCUUUGUCAAUAAAAUAAAUUCAUUUCUUGUAUUGAGGAAGAAAAAGUCAACGAACAGCAAACAUUUUGGUUUACAGUUGAUUCAUAACUCAAAACAGGGUUUCAAUUUUCAAUUCUUCUUUAUCAUAAUUCCUUAACAAGAAUGGAAGUAAUUGCCAUCACCAUUAUUGCUUUCAUUUUCUUGGUGUUAUUAUUAACAGUUUUGAUCACUCUCUUUUAUAAUGGAGGCAACGGUGAACACCACCGGAGGGAAUUUCACAAAAGAUCAACCACCAUGGAUCAAAGCCGGGUGCCGCCAGCUGAUCAGUGAUGGUAGGCGGCGAGUGGUGGCGGUAGAUGGCGGAUGGUGGUGGAGGAAUAUAUGAAGACUGAAGAGGCUGACAUUGAAGUCAAACUAUGAGGUAGCUUGUGUUUAUAUGUUAUUAUGUGUUUGUAUAAUUUUGAAAUUAUAUUUAAUAUUUGUAAGUAAAGUGUAAAAGUUUUGUUGAUUAAAUUUCGUAUAACAUGAUUAAAGCGACAAGAUCCCAUUAAUACGAAACAGCCAUGAAAAGUUGAAAACACAUCUUUAAAAGUAUACGCAAACGCAAUCAUCGCAUUCCAAGAAACUUAAUUUCUUUAAGACAUUUCAUCGAACACUUUCCGGGCAUUCCUGGAAUCCCAUUAUCUUUGCGUUAGAAUAUUGAUAUCCGAUUGAGUGGCGUUAAUCAUUUACUCUUCGUAUUAUCAUAAUAAAGUAUAGCGCAUUGAAGAUCAUUACCCUAAAUUCGUGGCGAUAAUCGAUAUCUUCUUAAUGAUGAUUACGAAACUAAAGUGGAGGAAACAGUUGAUUAAUCUAGAAUUACGGUUUUCCGAAUUUGAUGAUAAGGAGAGAAUUACUUACGAAUCACGAUAUAGGUUAUAUGUGACAUCUGCGUUCAAUACGAAAUAUGCUUUAUAUCAGAUUCCACUAGUUUAUAGCUUUAGAAAGCGAAAAAGCUUCAUUCAACAUCAAUGGUAGUAAACUGAAAUUCCUCCUGAUUUGAGUCCAAUAAGAUAAAAGCAUCGUCAACCCACGAUUCAUUUGUUUAUUGUUGGUAAAACGAGAGAAUAUAAUCAUAUAUCACCACCUUUUCGGAACAAGUUCUUACGUUUUUUUGGCAAUUAGAUGCUAAUGUUUUUCGGGCAUUUCAACAAGUUUGGAAAAAAAAAAAUCAAAAGCAGAAGAUGCAAAGCAUUUGAAAAAAAUGGUCGAUAGAUGCUGAUUUUGACUUGUACCUCACACUCACAAUUGCAGAUUCCCUCACGUACAUCAAGAACUUGUCCCACGAAUAAUAUUAGUUCUUGCUUUUUGAAGAACAAGUGCUAAAGUGGGGUUCUUAGCAAAAGGAUGAAGGGUAAAUCCGUAACAACCAUCGAAUCCACUUUAAGUAUGUUUUUCAAAUUAACUAAUUAUUCGC
rnacentral:lncRNA from 1 species